rnacentral:misc_RNA from 1 species
GUAGGUGAACCUGCGGAAGGAUCAUUAAAAAAGGAUGUCACUUGUGACAUACCCCAUCCGUGUCUAUAUACUCUUGUUGCUUUGGCAGGCCGUGGUCUUGACCCUGUGGGCUUUAUGCCUGCAAGUGCCUGCCAGAGGACCCCUAAACUCUGAAUGUUAGUGUCGUCUGAGUACUAUUAAAUAGUUAAAACUUUCAACAACGGAUCUCUUGGUUCUG